CCGGGGCGGGGAUGGGGACUGCGCCGUCCCCGGCCCGGUCACCACCGGCCUGCACUCCGGGCCCGGGCUUGGCUCUUCCAUCGGCUUAACCAUCACUUGGAGGUGGCAGAUAUGUGAUGGAGACACUAUGUUGGCGACGUCAGGGUUAACUAGGAGUGAAUUGGGGGCGCGAUGUUGUAAGGACGGGAUUCCUGCCUCCCGCCCCAUUAUCCUUACGCCCUAUUCACUGCGGUCUCAGAUUCUGGGAGGUCUCGGGAGGCCCAGAAAUGGGAGAAGUCAGAUUGCGGGGUCGUGGGCCCCAAAGCCUAAAUCUUGCCCUUCCUACACCCAGAGCUAAGUGACCAUGCCCAGGCUUCAUUUGACCACAUGGACAAAGGAAAGCGCCCCCAAGAGAGACCAUCUCCCGAAGCAGAGGCUCUGGCUGUAAAUGGUGCUAGUGGCCGGCCUGGCAGGGGCCAGCUCUCCCCAGAGGCUCAGGAGCUUCUCCAGGAGGCAUCUCGCAGUCAGUCCCCAGCCCACACCAAGGCUGUGCCCUUCCACUCCUCUUGCUUUCCUCUUCCCACCACCCACUCACUCACUAGUCUUUGCCCUCUUCCUUCCUCUGGGAAACGGAACAGGCUCCUUUCCAUUAGUGAGAGCUGCAACUAAUGCAGUCAUCUUCAGAAAGCAAAGACAUAACCCCGUGCCCAGGAUCCGAACUGCGACCAUCACCCAGCAAUGACUGCUCCCCUUAAACACCGAGAAGGGAAUUCACUUGAUU
rnacentral:lncRNA from 1 species